rnacentral:rRNA from 1 species
UGCCCUGUGAGACAGCUCCCGCCUUAGAAGCUAAUACCGAGAAUACAACUCUCCAGGUUAUCCUGGGGGGUGGAAAGCUCCAGCGGUGCGGAUUAGCCCGCAGCCUAUCACCUGGUUGGAGGGGUGAUUGCCUUCAGAGGACACCACGCCAAGCCGGCCUUAAAGGGCGACCGGCCACACUGGGACUGACACACGGCCCAAACUCCUACGGGAGGCCGCAGUGGGGAAUAUUGCACUAUGGGCGCAUGCCUGAUGCAGCGACACCGCGUGAGGGAUGACGGCCUUCGGAUUGUAAACCUCUUUCAGCAAGAAAGAAGCGCGAGUGACGGGACCUGCAGAAGAAUCACCGGAUAACUACGUGCCUUCAGCCGAGGUAAUACGUAGGGUGCGAGCGUUGUCCGGAAUUAUUGGGCGUAAAGAGCUCGUAGGCGGCCUGUCGCGUCUGAUGUGAAAGCCCGGGGCUUAACCCCGGGUCUGCAUUCGAUACGGGCAGGCUAGAGUUCGGUAGGGGAGAUCAGAAUUCCUGGUGUACCGGUGAAAUGCGCAGAUAUCAGGAGGAACACCGAUGGCGAAGGCGGAUCUCUGGGCCGAUACUGACGCUGAGGUGCGAAAGCAUUCCGAGCCAACAGGAUUAUAUACCUGGAUUCCACGCCGAAACGUUGGGGACUAAGUGUGGGCGGUAUUCGCGUCGUCGGUGCGCAGCUCACGCAUUAGUGCUCCGCCUGGUGAUACGGCCUCAGGAUAAACUCAACGGAUUGUUGGUUCCCAGCACAAUCGGUAGACUUACUGGCUUAUUCAACGCACGCGUAGAACUUACCAGGCUUGAAUACACCGGACCACUUGCAGACCGUGCCCCUUGUGUCAGUGUCAGGUGGGAAUGGUGUCAUCACUCAUGCAGGA